rnacentral:rRNA from 1 species
UGGCUCAGAUUGAACGCUGGCGGCAGGCCUAACACAUGCAAGUCGAACGGUAACAGGAAGCAGCUUGCUGUUUCGCUGACGAGUGGCGGACGGGUGAGUAAUGUCUGGGAAACUGCCUGAUGGAGGGGGAUAACUACUGGAAACGGUAGCUAAUACCGCAUAACGUCGCAAGACCAAAGAGGGGGACCUUCGGGCCUCUUGCCAUCGGAUGUGCCCAGAUGGGAUUAGCUAGUAGGUGGGGUAACGGCUCACCUAGGCGACGAUCCCUAGCUGGUCUGAGAGGAUGACCAGCCACACUGGAACUGAGACACGGUCCAGACUCCUACGGGAGGCAGCAGUGGGGAAUAUUGCACAAUGGGCGCAAGCCUGAUGCAGCCAUGCCGCGUGUAUGAAGAAGGCCUUCGGGUUGUAAAGUACUUUCAGCGGGGAGGAA